UGUAAUUUGUAUAAUUUGGCGAACCAAAUGCAUUUUCUCUGCUUCCAUGGCUUUUUCCACAGCCACACUUCCACUUAGACCAUUUCUAAUGAGGUUUCAGCGAAGUUGUUCAGCUUCCUCCAAUUUUUUAAGGACACAUUGCACACAGUGCUGAGAUACAAAUUAAGAAAAUGGAGCAUGUGCCUAAAGAAGCAGCCAAUCUUCAAAGAAAAACUCUGUUUGGCCUUCAGAAAGCCUGGAGAACUGUCCAUUGUAAAAAUCACAAGAAGGUCUGGCUGCUUGUAAGCAAAUGCAGAGAAAAGAGGGAUAGCUCAAAACUUUUGCACAGAACUCUAUGUAUAUUUGUAUGUGUAUAUAAUAUAUGUAUGUAUCUGUGUGUCUGCUUGUUGAAACAGCAUUUGUGCUUACAGUAUCUUAGAGUGAGUGACUGCCUGCUGUGUGAUCAGAGGAAUCUCCCUCUUCAGUGUGCAACCGUUCCAUCAGAAAUCAGCCACUGACCCAUAAAUCCUCAGGAGUGUGUGCGUUUGUAGGCCAUGUCUCAUUAAAAAAUAAGCCCUUCAUUUGCCAGAGUGUCAGUCCCUCGUAAGCAG